rnacentral:rRNA from 1 species
ACGCUGGCGGCAUGCUUUACACAUGCAAGUCGAACGGCAGCACGAAAGAGCUUGCUCUUUUGGUGGCGAGUGGCGAACGGGUGAGUAAUACAUUGGAACGUACCGAGUAAUGGGGGAUAACUGUCCGAAAGGAUGGCUAAUACCGCAUACGCUCUGAGGAGGAAAGCGGGGGACCUUCGGGCCUCGCGUUAUUCGAGCGGCCAAUGUCUGAUUAGCUAGUUGGUGGGGUAAAGGCCUACCAAGGCGACGAUCAGUAGUGGGUCUGAGAGGAUGAUCCGCCACACUGGGACUGAGACACGGCCCAGACUCCUACGGGAGGCAGCAGUGGGGAAUUUUGGACAAUGGGCGAAAGCCUGAUCCAGCCAUGCCGCGUGUCUGAAGAAGGCCUUCGGGUUGUAAAGGACUUU